rnacentral:misc_RNA from 1 species
AACGCACGAGACCUGCGGACCUGCGGAGGGAUCAUUACCGAGUGCGGGCCCUCGCGGCCCAACCUCCCACCCUUGUCUCUAUACACCUGUUGCUUUGGCGGGCCCACCGGGGCCACCUGGUCGCCGGGGGACGUCGUCUCCGGGCCCGCGCCCGCCGAAGCGCUCUGUGAACCCUGAUGAAGAUGGGCUGUCUGAGUACUAUGAAAAUUGUCAAAACUUUUAACAACGGAUCUCUAGAUC